rnacentral:rRNA from 1 species
GAUGAACGCUAGCUACAGGCUUAACACAUGCAAGUCGAGGGGCAGCGGGAUUGAAGCUUGCUUCAAUUGCCGGCGACCGGCGCACGGGUGAGUAACGCGUAUCCAACCUUCCGUACACUCAGGGAUAGCCUUUCGAAAGAAAGAUUAAUACCUGAUGGUAUGAUGAGAUUGCAUGAUAGCAUCAUUAAAGAUUUAUCGGUGUACGAUGGGGAUGCGUUCCAUUAGGUAGUAGGCGGGGUAACGGCCCACCUAGCCGACGAUGGAUAGGGGUUCUGAGAGGAAGGUCCCCCCACAUUGGAACUGAGACACGGUCCAAACUCCUACGGGAGGCAGCAGUGAGGAAUAUUGGUCAAUGGACGAGAGUCUGAACCAGCCAAGUAGCGUGAAGGAUGAAGGUCCUACGGAUUGUAAACUUCUUUAUAAGGGAAUAAACCCUCCACGUGUGGGAGCUUGUAUGUACCUUAUGAAUAAGCAUCGGCUAACUCCGUGCCAGCA